AGGAUGAACGCUGGCGGCGUGCUUAACACAUGCAAGUCGAACGGUGAAAGAGAGCUUGCUCUCUGGAUCAGUGGCGAACGGGUGAGUAACACGUGAGCAAUCUGCCCUUGACUCUGGGAUAAGCGCUGGAAACGGCGUCUAAUACCGGAUACGAGCUGCGAAGGCAUCUUCAGCAGCUGGAAAGAACUUCGGUCAAGGAUGAGCUCGCGGCCUAUCAGCUUGUUGGUGAGGUAAUGGCUCACCAAGGCGUCGACGGGUAGCCGGCCUGAGAGGGUGACCGGCCACACUGGGACUGAGACACGGCCCAGACUCCUACGGGAGGCAGCAGUGGGGAAUAUUGCACAAUGGGCGCAAGCCUGAUGCAGCAACGCCGCGUGAGGGACGACGGCCUUCGGGUUGUAAACCUCUUUUAGCAGGGAAGAAGCGAAAGUGACGGUACCUGCAGAAAAAGCACCGGCUAACUACGUGCCAGCAGCCGCGGUAAUACGUAGGGUGCAAGCGUUAUCCGGAAUUAUUGGGCGUAAAGAGCUCGUAGGCGGUUUGUCACGUCUGCUGUGAAAACUGGAGGCUCAACCUCCAGCCUGCAGUGGGUACGGGCAGACUAGAGUGCGGUAGGGGAGAUUGGAAUUCCUGGUGUAGCGGUGGAAUGCGCAGAUAUCAGGAGGAACACCGAUGGCGAAGGCAGAUCUCUGGGCCGUAACUGACGCUGAGGAGCGAAAGGGUGGGGAGCAAACAGGCUUAGAUACCCUGGUAGUCCACCCCG
rnacentral:rRNA from 1 species